UACGAGGGGGCAAGCGUUGUUCGGAAUUAUUGGGCGUAAAGGGCGCGUAGGCGGUCUGAUAAGUCUUGUGUGAAAUCUCUGGGCUCAACCCAGAGUCUGCAUAGGAAACUGUCGGGCUUGAGUAUGGGAGAGGUGCGUGGAAUUUCCGGUGUAGCGGUGAAAUGCGUAGAUAUCGGAAGGAACACCUGUGGCGAAAGCGGCGCACUGGACCAAAACUGACGCUGGAGGCGCGAAA
rnacentral:rRNA from 1 species